CCCCCAAAUCCCGCCUUCCACCUCGACACCCGGCCACGGCUCCGCCUCCGACGCCGGCCACGGCUCCACCUCCACCGCCGACCAUGACCCCACCUCCGCUGCCUGCCACGACUCAACCUGGACCUUCCGCCUCAACCGCCGACCACCUCCUCCCCGUCCCCCUCAGCCUCCACCAAACCCUUAACCAAGCCGCUCCCUCCGGCCACCGUUCGAUGGCCGCGACUCCACCUCCACUGCUGGUCACGACCCUGCCUCACUGCCUCCACUGUCGGCCAGAACUCCACCUCCACCUCACCCGUCCGCAUCUGAUCUGGUUACAACCCCCCCCCCCCCCCCCCCCCCCCCCCCCCCCCUCUGCCUCCGCCAAACCCUAGCCAAGCAGUCGCUGCCACCACAUUGUCCCCACUUCAAGUACCUCUCCGGCUCCACAUAGUCGUUGCUUUAAGGACAUCGACAGUGAAGACACCUCGAGGAUGCACAAGAUGUGCUUGUGGUUCAUUAGAGCUCUGGCCGUUCCUCUGAAGUUCUGUGUGCUACCAUAGUAUGGAAAAUCAGGGUUUGAACUGCGGUAAUAAGACUAGCCAAAAAACCUAAUAUGGAAAGACCCGCUGAUGGUCCUGGUGGAAUUAAGCCUCGGCCAACUAAGAGAGUUCAUGAGACACACUCCUGAUCACCAACUGUGAUGUUGCUCUGCUAUCACUGCCUCCCCCUGGAGAACAUGAUUUAGUAACACGAUGCAUGACCUCGACAAGCUUCUAGAAAUGUCUCCCUCCUUGCUACUUAGCAACUACAUCAGACUUAAGAAGCUCCCUGGAGAACACGAUUUGGUAACAAGAUGCAUGGCCUCAACAAGCUUCUAGAAACGUCUCCCUCCUUGCUACUUAGCAACUACAUCAGACUUAAGAAGGUAAAAGAAGAAGCAUGACCUGAACAAAGAUGCCAGGUUGACGCUAAAAAAUGGAAUUAGCAAAGUUUAUCUUCUUAUAGAUUAACAUAUUUUGUUCGUAGUGUAGCAGAUUGAAACACAUUUUUAUAUAAGGAUUUUUUUAUUGUUUUCCUAUGCUUUACGGGACUGUUGUGUAUGCACAAAGCACACUCCAGUCCAAGUUUCUGGGGUUUCUAUUCCAAGCAAUUCAACUCAGUCGCCCUCAAUUCAACCAUGAUUCUAAAAAUGCACUCUCAGUAUAGUAGUCACCCCCAAUGUUUUAUAUUUUGUGAAACUGAUUAUGAUGGUAGCAAACCAACAUGACUUCACCGGAUAACAAGUCUUUCAUAUGAUUUCAUGUGAUUGCCAUGUUUAAUUCCUAGUACAAUAUAUAUGGUAAAGCAAACGUAACAAGAAAAAUUACCUUAUACACAAUGAUAAAGUGUGAAACGGCGCAACAAAGCAGGGGUAUGCUUCUAGUUGACUUUAAACUGCAUUUAACAAUGGGAUGAAAUUUUGGAAUUGGAGUUAAGGAACACAAUCAUAUGUGCUAAAUAUAAAUCCUAAUUUGAGAUCCCAUUGAUUACAUCCUGCUGUGUAGCUUCUGAAUUUAGCAAUUCAAUCCUAUAUGGUUGAUUUUGUGAACACUUGUUGUUGAUAUCCUUCAAAGUCAUAGUUAGGAUAACGAUGGCAUGCGAUAUACAAAUAUUGUACUUGCCAAUUGAUUACUUAAUAUGCUACUUUAGUUACCAAUUAAUUAGUGUGUCCUAUCAAUAUGAUUUCUGAGUUGUCUUGAUGCUAUACUUCUCCUAUCAAAAGAGCAAAUUGUACAUUAGACAUAUAGUAUUUGCACGGGUCCGUUCAAGCUUAACUAGGAAAAGGGGCAUUGAUGAGGACAUCAAUACCAUUGUUACACCCACAGCCCCUGCUGCUAUACAUACUGGACCAAUUACUAGAGCUCGUGCAUGCCAAU